AGGGGACCCGCGGCCCCGGGCUCGCCCUGCAGCCAAGGGCCCCCCGCAUCGGGGUGGGGGGCGGGGGGGGGGGACGGUAGCAGGCGCAGGAACCGAGAGGGCAGAAGGCAAGGAGGGAUUAAGGCGCCCAGCCUCUGUGGAUCCCACAGAUGCCAGGCAGCAACUGCUUUCCCCGUUUCGUUCCGGUGAACAGAGAAAGGAAAAGAAGAUCCUUUGCCUCCCACCGAGAUAAAAAGGAAGGCGUUCCGACAGAACUCUUCACAGAACUCUUCACCAUCGCCAUCAUCAUCAUCUGCUUUUCUUCUGCUUCGGCGUCAUCCCUUUCUUUUCCUGAUUACAAAAUUCAUACAGGUACCUGAAAAACCAGGAACGUCCAAGAAACUGUCACAGACCAGGUAAUACAGAAAAGAAAAUGCAGAAAAGCACAAAGAAGAAACUAGAAAACAUUUGUAAUCCUACCAUCUAGAGUACUGGGGGCACCGAUAACUGCAGAGGUGUGUCUGAGUCUGUGGGCUCUCUGCUGGACACUUUGGGGAUCUCCAGCACCUUCUUCCCCCUGUCCUAUAGCACCCUAUGUCUGUUUGAGAGAAUCUCCCCACUGCGUUGGAGGCUGGAGCCCCACUGUGUAGUCUUUGUGGAGAACAGCCCAACUUGUCACUAGGA
ensembl:lncRNA